CAGAGCCUGCAGGGCAAAGAGGGGGCCAGGUUGUGACUCGGGCAGGAACAUGAGCAUCCGCCCUGCAAGGCGUGAGUCUGCUUUGGUUCCGUACUCCCGGCUUCCUGAAGCCUCCCUCUCCCUGCUUGUCAGGUGUGAACGACCAUCGGAACCCUGCCUUUCCAGGCCUGAGAAAGACUAAAGGCUGUAAGGUGGAAACAACCUUUCGGGGCUGGCUCUGCCUGGUACAGACAAAAGGGAACCUAAUCGAGGCUUCUGGGAUCACGUGACUGUGUUCAUGCCUCUCUUACAGUACAGCGUCCAGAAUAAGACAAGCGCUGUAAGGGAAAACACUCCUGUCCUAGACUGCUGUCCUGCAUGCAAGAGUCACAGCGGUGACUCAUUGAGUACACUCGGAACCCAGGCACCCUCUGUCCUUGCUCUGCAAUCUGACGACUGUGCAACUCCGGCCCCGUAUUAAACAUGUGAGUGCCUCAGUUUUCACAUCUGCAAAAGGGGUUCGUUCUUUCUGUCUCCUGUAGGUAAUGAGAUGUGUGAGUUAAAAAAGAGCCUGGCACUCCACAACUAUCAGCUAUCAGCACAACCCCCAGAAGCCCAGCCCCAGCUUCCAGGAGCUCUCUCUGCACACGCUGCAGUAUAGAGCUAUGUUUUACUUUUGUUUUGUUCUAUCAAAGAGGCCGGGACGAAGCAUACCAGGGAGAUGUCAAAGGCCUCUUUAUAAUUAUCUUUUCAUCUUCUCUCUGGAUUUUUUUUUUUGAGGGGGAGGGGGAGGGGCCUCACCUUUCUCCAAGUUAAUCUUAAAGCCUGACUGGAUGAAAACACUCCCUUAAUCACAACAAAACAACACACAAAACCUCUGCUGCUGCCCCCUGCAACGUGAGUGAGACAAAGUCUGCCCCCCCUCGGCUGUUUCAGGCAGUUCCCUGUGCUCCCACCCCAUGACCCAGGCUCUCACCCCAACCUCACGGCCCUCACUCCCCCGCUCAGCCCCACUCCACGCCUUCAGUGCCUGCCCCUCCCACUCUGCAGUUCGAGCUCAGCUAUGGCUCCACCCUCUCCCAAAUUCUUCCCUUAUCUAUCCAGGAGGCUGCCACACAGGUUAGAAACUUGGUGUCGGCCUCAUUCACUGCCUGCUGGUCCCACACUGCUAGGAGCCUCUGCUUUUUCUGUCUCCCAAGCUUUCUUGUCAAUUCCCCAAUGAUCCCACCGUGCACUUUCUUUAGACUAGAUAAUGGUACCCAUACAUUCUUGGAGCCUGCACAGGAUCCAGUGUGAGGUUUUACACACAAUGCUCAGUAAACACUUGCUGGCCACACUGACUGAUACCUUGUUGGCUCUGCUCUGUGAUUUCCAACCCAAACCAAGCCAGAGAAAGAAACUUCUUCCCAGGUAAGCAAAACCUGUGCUUGCCAACACCAGGCAAUUUCCAUCCACAGACACCAGGAGGCACCAGAGAACUACACCAUGGGUGGUAUCUGGGGUCAGAGGUUAACUGGGAGAAGACUGCACCUGCGCCGGUCUGCUGUAAGGGGUCAGGUGAUCCCACUUUCCAAAAGGAAAGAACCCCUUUGCAAAAUGGACAUUUUUAAGCCUCACAACACCAGGGCCUGUUCUUGACCAAAACGUAUCAACAAGCCCAGGAGACCAGGUCAGCCACCUACUAUGAAUAAUGCUAAUGUAACUGAUCCCCACCACAGCCUGAGGAGGGAGCUAUUAGAUUGAAUCGUAAGGAACUGCUGUUUGUGGAUCAGCUGAGUAUCAGCAGCCAAGCAUGACUAAUCAAAUCCUGAUCCUUGCUGAAUAUUGAACGAACUGGGGUCUGAGCAGUUGGACUUGCAGGUCUGACAGUAAAGGGUGGACAGAGGAUGAGAAUCCAAACAGGAGGACCAACCAGCAUCACUCCACUCCACUCCAGGGGGAGAUAGCAGAGGUCGUCCUCCAGCCCCCAGUCCCCUAUAACCCGCCACCACAGCCACCAGGGUCACUUACUAGAGCGGAGCAGGGUUCGAUGGGCACUCUUUGGCGUGAUAGGAGGAGGGGCCGGGAUGUUGCUGGUUGAUAUGAUGGCAUUGAAGUAGAGGCCAGAGCCUUCCCGGACGGGGCUGAGAAUGGGGGGUGGUGUGUAAGGGGGGGGCUCAAAGCUCCGCUCAGAGGGGUGGUCAGCAAGGCGCACGGGAGAGCGCAGGUGGCUCUGGUAAGGGGUGAUGUUGGAGUAGACAGGAGGGGCGAUGAAAGUGCCCGCCUUGGUGGGGAUGAUGAGGGGCUCCGGCCGCGGCCGCUGCUUUGGUUUCCGCAUGGAAGGCUCCCCUUCCAACUUGACGUUCAGGUCUUCAGCCUGGAGAAGAAAACAAAAUGAAGAGGCUCGGCCUCUUGUGGCCCCAGAAACCUGUCGUCUUGGAAGACGGAGAAAGCUUCGAAGCUCGGCUUAUUGCCCCACCAGACAGUCACAGGCUAGCAAACCUCCCAGGAGGCCACGGUGAGGGGUUUAGGUUGAGGAAGCUGUCUGUCCUACUUUUACUUUUCUCUCUUUUCUUUUUAAAAAGAUUUAUCUAUUCAUUUCACAUAUGUGGUACACUGUCACUGUCUUCAGACACACCAGAAGGUGGCAUCGGAUGCCCAUUACAGAUGGUUUGUGAGCCACCAUGUGGCUGCUGGGAUUUGAACUCAGGACCUCUGGAACAGCAGUCAGUGCUCUUAACCACGGAGAUAUCUCCUCACUUUUUUUUUUUUUUUUUUUCUGAGACAGGGUUUCUCUGUGUAGUCCUGGCUGUCCUGGAACUCACUUUGUAGACCAGACUGGCCUCGAACUCAGAAAUAAAUCCGCCUGCCUCUGCCUCCCGAGUGAUGGGAUUAAAGGCGUGUGCCACCACGCCCGGCCAUCCUCACCUUUAAUGUGAGACUAGAACAGGAAAUGCCUACCAGACCUGGGAGCUAUGAAGAUUAAACCAACCAGUCAGUAUGUGGAAAUGAAUAAGCACAUUUGUUUUUUGUGGGUGGAGAUCAAAUCCUUGGCCUUGCGUAUGCUGGGCAAACACUACCCUACUGAGCAAAAUCCCCGACCCACAGCACUUCUCCCUCUACCCUGGCGUUCAGAUCCUCGGCCUAGAGAGGGCAGCAGAGCACAGGCGGCCCAGCCUCCUAUGUAGCGAUAUGAGUGGAUAUAUGGAAAUCAAUAUUGUGUGGUUGCAAUAACAGUUCUGUCACUACUGAUGUCCAGAGUCUGUAUGGGAGAGAAGCCCGAGUUUUGUGCCAAAACCUCAGCUAAGGCGUGACAGUCAGAAGAUCUGCUACUAUCAGAAGGUAGCUCACCCAUGUUGUCAGAGGCUGGCCUUCCUAGCUUGCCCUUCUAUAUGGUAUGCCUUAUGAGCGUCUACUGAACAGAAAGCAGGGCCAUCAAGAGAGAGCCUUUCUUAGUCCACGCUAACACUCUCCAAGGGGAAGCAGCAACUACGGCAUCUCUGGUCACAUAGUAAACAAAGGUCGGUCAAGUUGGCUCGAGUGCUGCAGGCUCUCCCCGCUUCAAGGAUCCAGCUCCUUCAAGCUCAUUCCAGCCAAGGGGGGCUCUCCUGCUGAGGCCCGGGCAUGACCUUUUCUUUCUGUGUGUUCUCAUGCUCCUUCUACGAAUUAGGACAAACGGAGAAUGUUCAUCCCUCUGCCGGUAGGGGAACAGUAAUGGCUACACAGGAGGAAACUGCAGAGGAGCCAUGCUGCUUGCGUUUGUCAGUUUGACAUCAACCAAACAGAGCAAGGAGGAGGGGCUCUCAGUUCAGAAACUGCCUCCAUUAGAUAGGCCUGAGGACAAGUCUAUGGGAGAAUCUCCUCAACUUCUAAUUGAUGGAGGAGGCCCAGGCCUCUGUGGGCAAUCUCGCCCCUGGGCAGGUGGUCCUGGGUUCUCUAGGAAGGCAGCUGAGUGAGUCAUGAUGACCAAGGCAGUGAGCAGCAUCCCUCCAUGACCUCUGCAUCAGCUCCUGCCUCCAGGUUCCUGCCUGCGUUCCUGUGCUGACUUCCCUCAUGUCCGACUGUAAACUACAGGAUAAAAUAAACUCUUCCCUCCGCCACGGGUUGCUUUUGGUUUUAGCAUUUAUCACAGCAACAGAAAACUAACUACAUCUGGAGCUAAAGGCCUCCCCCGCUGUGCCAGACAAUCCUAUACAAAACCAGCUCCAACUAUUUACAGGUAAGAGAUUUAAACUGUUCGGAGUAUUUUUGACCUUCAAGUUGUGACAAUGCUAUUGAGACUAUUUUUAAAAGAAAGGAGUGGGGGGGGGGUGGUUGGAGACAGGGAAGAAAGGAAGGAGGGAGGGAAGGAAGGAGGGAGGGAAGGAAGGCAGGGCAGGCAGGCAGGUAGGCAUGCAAAUAGACCAUAUGUAUGUAUUCUGAUGCAAGCCAAACAUAUUUAUGAAUGAAAUGUUACAAUAUGAAAUGCGCCUCAGAAUGAUUCAGGGUCAUGAGAGUACAGAUAAAGCAAGAUUGGCUGUAUUCUGAUAGAAUUAUGAGACCUGGGGGACAACUAUGCAUUCAGUCACGAGACCCUUCUCUGUUUUUAUGAAUGAUUGGAAAUGUCUACAAUACAAAGAAACAUACUAAAUAAACAAAUAACAAAAUAUAACAACACCCCCCCCAUAUCAAGCCACAGAACAAGACCCCAGAAAGCAGACAGUUUGGGGCUAACUCUCCUGCAGGAUCUCUCAGUAAUCUCGGAGCCCUCUGGUAUAGCCAAACUCCUCAAAGGCAAUGACUCAGAAGAUGUGAUCUAGGGUCAGCUCUGCCAUUAGCUGGCCAUCUGACCUCAGGUAAGUCUAAGGCUUGUGGCGAUUUGCGGUUUGGUGAUGGGAACAGAACCUGAGACCAGCACAUGUUAGGCAAGUGCCCUACCAUUUAUUAAGCUACAGAGCCCCCCAGUGCUACAGUUGAAUAUCAUUUGCACCCCAAGUUCACAGUCAUGGGGGUUUAAUCCUCAAAGCCUGACGUUAACAGUAGGAAGAAGGCGGAGACUGAAGUCUGGGUGGUAUUUAGAGGCAAGCAGGUGAUUUAUUGGCGUUACGUAAGGUCAUCAGAGUGGAGCCACCAUUGUCCAGUCCUGUGUGGACCAGAAGAAUACAGACAGAGACACACAGAUGACAGACACGUGUGUUCCCUAUCUUUUUCCCCUAUGAAGCACUGCAAUGAUCUUGGAACUCUGCCUGUCUGCCUGCAGGUUGAUUGCCCCCAGAAAAGGCCCCUGGACCUUGUUUCUCUAGAAUGAGCUAACCUCUUCAUUAUGUUAGCCUGCCUCGGGUGUUUUGUUAGAGUGAGGAGAAGCAGGCUAAUGCAGUCUCUUGCCUUUUCUGGACCCGUUUCCUCAGGUAUGAAAUGGAGACACCGACUAGUUUCUCUGGCUCCUUCCUACCCUCUGUCAAGACAAGCUACCAGGCCUCAACUUCCAGCCUCCAACGUACUUUCCCCACCACAGAGAAGACCUCAGAGAUCCGAUGAGCUUGAGUCAAUUACCUCACAAUGAUCUUAAAGGCCCUGUCUCUUUCCUAUUAUAGAGAACAAGCAUGCAGGCCAGCUCUUCAACAGAAUAAACAGGAAAUCUGAACUGAAUGGAAAAAAACAUUCCCGGAGAUAUCAGAACAAACAGCUUGACAAAGAAUUAAAGACCCAAGACCUGAGGUGGAUGUGGGGUCAAACGGGCAAGCCCAGCCUCUUAGCUGCCUUGUGCCUGCAGGUGAACGUUAUUACUUGGAGAAGCAACUGGGGGGGGGGGGGGGCGCAGCAUGAGGGCUAGGCAGAGUUUGACAGCUCCAAAAACUACCAGAAUAAAAGCUGUGGCUCAGAAUAACAGCAAGUGGCAAACAGGCUUGUCCUUACAUGGAAGAAUGCUUAAAUCACCUCAUCUGUUUCUGAUUAAGUAAAAGUGACUCAGGAUUGCUAGAGCCCUUUGCUGCCCAGCAGAAGUCAAGAGAAACGCUCUUGGGAAGACUCGAAGAGACACAGGCACACAGACACACACAGACAGGCACACCCACUGGCUUUUCAGGUCAAUUUUAACAAGUGGCCAUGAAGUCAUGGCUUCAGAUCUAGCAAAUAAAAUGGCAUAUAAAGAUGAAUUCUUCUAGAUGGCAGGAAGAUGUUAGAGACGGCUUUAAAUUAACGUCCUGGGUGCGAACGUGUUAAUUGAGCACUAUUGAAGAGAAAAAAAGAUUUUACACAAAAAGCAAGCAUGGCUUAGCUGGGAACAGCUUGGUGGCAGAAGUGUUGACAGGAAAACAUCAGGACAUGAGUUUGGAUCCCCAGAAUCCACAUAGAAAAGCCAGAUGUGGUGGCAAACAUCUGUAAUCUCAAGGCUAGGGAGGUGGCGGCUGGGGGAUCCCUGGGGCCCGCUCACCAGCCAGUCUGUGACUGAAGCAUUGAGAGAUGGGUUCUGUGAGAGAUCCCAUCUGAAAAACGCUGGUGGAACAUAACUGAGAAAGACAUCUAACAUUCUCUUCUGGCCAUCACAGGCGCGCACACACACACACACACACACAAGCACGCACAUCUGCACACAUGUGCACACAUAUACACGAACACACAAGUGCUGCGGUUAUUUAUCUACUUUCAAGAUCUAGUAUCUUGAAGAGAAAAAACAAACAGACAAACAAACAAAAACAAACAAAAAAAACAAUAACGGGUCUAAAGAGGUGGCUCAGCAGUUAAGAGAACUGGCUGCUCUUCCAGUGGAUCCAGGUUCAAUUCCCAGCACCCAGAGGGUGACUCCCAACUAACUGUAACUCCGGUCCCAAGGGAACUGAUACCCUCUCUUCCAGCCUCCAUGAGCACCAGGCCCAUAUGUGGUACAUAGACAUCCAUGCAGGCAAAACACCCAUUCACAUACACAAUAAACAAGCAAGCAAGCAAGCAAACAAACCUGAGAAGAGGAAACAGUAGUAGCAGCAGCAGCAGCCAUGCAGUGGUGGCACACACCUUUAAUCCCUCCAGAGGCCGAGGCAGGCAGAUCUCUGUGAGUUCAAGGCCAGUCCUGGUCUUUAGACUAGAUCCAGAAGAGUCGAGACUACACAGAGAAAUCCUGCCUCAAAAACAAACAAAAAGCAAAAAGCAAAAAAGCAGCAGUGGCCAUAUUAAGAGUACCUUUGUGUUGGGAGCUGGUGCUAAUGAACUACCUUCCAUUGCACAAUCCCAACCUUGGUCUGUUAAAAGAAGCUGUGGCUGGGUAGACAGCUCAGCUAGUAAAGUACUUGUCCUGUAAGUGUGAGGACCCGAGUUUGGACCCACGUAAGGUCCAGCAGACAUGGCAUCUCUGCCUGCAAUCCCAGCACUCCUAUGGAAAGUGGAGACAGAGAACCCCGGGAAGCUGGACCAACCAGCCUGAUGACACUCACAGCUGCAAACAGUGACACUAUGGCAAUCAAGCGGGAGGUGCAGAUGAACACAGAGAGUGCCCUCUGACUUCCUCGUGCAGGACGGCACACGUGCUCACGUACAUACGUAUACAUUUUUUUGUUUGUUUGUUUGUUUGUUUUUCGAGACAGGGUUUCUCUGUGUAGCCCUGGCUGUCCUGGAACUCAGAAAUCCACCUGCCUCUGACUCCCGAGAGCUGGGAUUAAAGGCGUGCGCCACCACGCCCAGCUUUUUUUUUUUAAAGGUGGGCUAGUUGGCUCAGUGAGUGAAGGCACUUGCUACCAAGCCUGACAACUUGAAUUCAAUCCCUGGAACCACACAGCGAGAGGAGAAAACCGACUCACACAAAUUGUCCCCCGAUACACACCACGGCAGGCACACACUCACACAUACACUUCCCAAAAAUAAAGCAGAUGCUUUUGUUUUGUUUUGAAGAACAAAACCUAAGAAAAAAAAAAAGUAACAGCGGGGCUGGAGACAUGGCUCAGUAGUUAAGAGCACUGACUGCUCUUCCAGAGGUCCUGAGUUCAAUUCCCAGCAACCACAUGGUGGCUCAUAACUAUCUGUAAUGGGAUCUGAUGCCCUCUUCUGGUGUGUCUGAAGACAGCAAUAGUGUACUCAUAUACAUAAAAUAAAUAUAUAAAUAAUUCUUUUUUUAAAAAAAAGUAACAACAACAACAACAACAAAGUAGAGAGGUGGGGGCAGAGAAAGUUAUUGUAAAGUCAAAGCCAACCUCAGGCUCAUUUUUUCCUUUGGAGACAGGUGCCCUCUAUAAAAUUCAGGUUGGCCUAAAACUCCAAGACCAGGAUGUCCUGAGCUCCGAGAUCCACAGCUUGGGAAUUAAAGGUGUUCGCCACCAGGCCCAGCUCACAGUCAGACAUCUUGCAUACACAGUAUGAUGCUAUGAUUUGAUGUGGUUUGUCCUCCCAGGGUCUACAGAGCAGAGGCCUGGUCCUCAGAGUAGGGUGUUGAAUGGCAGAACUUUAAGCCACUGGGGCCGUAGCCAAGUGGGGAGCAUGGCCUUUGGAAGACACUGCUGCUGCUGAAGAACUGAGUUAGCUCUCAAGCAAGCAAGCUGUUAAAAAGGACAGACCUGGGCUGGAGAGAUGGCUCAGCGGUUAGGAGCACUGAUUACUCUUCCAGAGGUCCUGAUUCUAAUUCCCAGCAACCACACAGUGGCUCACAACCAUCUGAUGUGUCUGAAUAGAGUAACAGUGUACUCACAUACAUGAAAUUAAUAAAUAAAUCUUUUUUUUUUAAAAAAAAAGGACAGGCCUGUGCUUUCUAUCUGUCUGUCUCUGUCAUGCCAUCUGCUAUAUUAUGCAGGAGCCAAGAGGGCCCUUACUAGAGGCUGAAAGUACAAAACCAUUUAAUCUUGGACUUUUAACAUCUAAGACCAUAAUCUGGAUAAACGUCUUUAAAAAAAAAAAAAAAAAAAAACACCAGCUUAUUAUUUUAA